CCUACGGGAGGCUGCAGUGGGGAAUAUUGCACAAUGGGCGCAAGCCUGAUGCAGCCAUGCCGCGUGUGUGAAGAAGGCCUUCGGGUUGUAAAGCACUUUCAGCGGGGAGGAAGGCGUUAAGGUUAAUAACCUUGGCGAUUGACGUUACCCGCAGAAGAAGCACCGGCUAACUCCGUGCCAGCAGCCGCGGUAAUACGGAGGGUGCAAGCGUUAAUCGGAAUUACUGGGCGUAAAGCGCACGCAGGCGGUCUGUCAAGUCGGAUGUGAAAUCCCCGGGCUCAACCUGGGAACUGCAUUCGAAACUGGCAGGCUAGAGUCUUGUAGAGGGGAGUAGAAUUCCAGGUGUAGCGGUGAAAUGCGUAGAGAUCUGGAGGAAUACCGGUGGCGAAGGCGGCCCCCUGGGCAAAGACUGACGCUCAGGUGCGAAAGCGUGGGGAGCAAACAGGAUUAGAUACCCGUGUAGUC
rnacentral:rRNA from 1 species